rnacentral:rRNA from 1 species
UACGUAGGGUGCGAGCGUUGUCCGGAUUUAUUGGGCGUAAAGGGCUCGUAGGCGGCGUGUCGCGUCGGCCGUGAAAACCUGCAGCUUAACUGUGGGCUUGCGGUCGAUACGGGCAUCACUGGAGUUCGGCAGGGGAGACUGGAAUUCCUGGUGUAGCGGUGAAAUGCGCAGAUAUCAGGAGGAACACCGGUGGCGAAGGCGGGUCUCUGGGCCGAUACUGACGCUGAGGAGCGAAAGCGUGGGAGCGAACAGG